CUUUGAAAACUGCUGUCUGUCAGCAACUCAGCUCAAGUAGCAGUUCUACUAACUAGUAAUAUCUCAUUCCAGGUAUUCAUUCUCUUACUCUGUCCAUUAGAAUAAAUUAUUGUUCAGAAAUACUUUAUUUUUCAGUUCUCUCCAUAUAGUGUUUUCUGCUCUGUCGUCUCAAAAUGGAUCCUGAACAAAAUAACAACUUUACUUUGUGUUUCAGCUCAGCCGUCUCCCCACCCUGAUAAUAAAGUGUUUUAUUGGUAUCUUCCACUAGAUGGCAGUAAACACCUGCUGUAACUAGACUUUACAACUAUGUGUUCGGUUUUAUACAGGCAGUGUCCCAGAGGAGGAGUGCUGAUCUAGGAUCAGGUCCCCCCUCUCCAUGUAAUCUGAUUCAUUAUAAUCUAGGAUCAGGUCCCCCCUCUCCAUGUAAUCUGAUUCAUUAUGAUCUAGGAUCAGGUCCCUCCUCUCCAUGUAAUCUGAUUCAUUAUAAUCUAGGAUCAGGUCCCUCCUCUCCAUGUAAUCUGAUUCAUUAUGAUCUAGGAUCAGGUCCCCUCCUCUCCAUGUAAUCUGAUUCAUUAUGAUCUAGGAUCAGGUCCCUCCUCUCCAUGUAAUCUGAUUCAUUAUGAUCUAGGAUCAGGUCCCUCCUCUCUAUGUAAUCUGAUUCAUUAUGAUCUAGGAUCAGGUCCCUCCUCUCCAUGUAAUCUGAUUCAUUAUGAUCUAAAAGGCUAAACUGACCCUAGAUCAGCUCUCCUGCUCUUUAUGAAUACUGUCACAGGUGACUCCUCAAGAUCAGGCUCGUGAUGUAUAAGUUCUAUUCUUUAAGAAUCAAUUACUAUCAUUCAUUGAACUGCUUUGCCAUGAACAGAUCUGUGAGGUCUUAACUUAAAGGUACUUUAUAGAUCUUAUGGUCAUUUUAAUGGGGUUGAACAUCCAUCCAAUCAGAUUGUGUAAAGGAUUUUAUGAGUUCAGAAAAAUAGCAACUUGGAAGCAUCUCUCUGACCUCACCCUGCUGAAACACACUCAAGUAAAGACCACAUAUCUACAGUUAAAUGCUUGUCUGUUUCUACCCACUUUUACAGCCAAUGUAUGGACUGGUAUCCAUAUGAAUCAGUAGAAUAUACAGACCAGUUAACCACCUCUCAGUAGAUGGACCCACACAGAACUUUAUAUAUACAGACUAGUUAACCACCUCCCAGUAGAUGGAACACAGAACUUUAUAUAUACAGACCAGUUAACCACCUCCCAGUAGAUGGACCCACAC
rnacentral:lncRNA from 1 species